rnacentral:rRNA from 3 species
UAAGGUGAUUAUUGCAGUAGGGUUCCACCUCUUCCCAUUCCGAACAGAGAAGUUAAGCCUACUAGCGCUGAUGGUACUGCGUUUAGCGGGAGAGUAAGUCGUCGCCGACU